GCUCGGGUGGCGAAAUGGUAGACGCGCUAGCCUUAGGAGCUAGCGGAGUAAAAUCCAUGGAGGUUCAAGUCCUCUCCCGAGCAC
rnacentral:tRNA from 1 species